rnacentral:rRNA from 1 species
CCUACGGGAGGCAGCAGUAGGGAAUCUUCCGCAAUGGACGAAAGUCUGACGGAGCAACGCCGCGUGAACGAUGAAGGCCUUCGGGUCGUAAAGUUCUGUUGUUAGGGAAGAACAAGUGCUAGUUGAAUAAGCUGGCACCUUGACGGUACCUAACCAGAAAGCCACGGCUAACUACGUGCCAGCAGCCGCGGUAAUACGUAGGUGGCAAGCGUUGUCCGGAAUUAUUGGGCGUAAAGCGCGCGCGGGCGGUUUCUUAAGUCUGAUGUGAAAGCCCCCGGCUCAACCGGGGAGGGUCAUUGGAAACUGGGAAACUUGAGUGCAGAAGAGGAAAGUGGAAUUCCAAGUGUAGCGGUGAAAUGCGUAGAGAUUUGGAGGAACACCAGUGGCGAAGGCGACUUUCUGGUCUGUAACUGACGCUGAGGCGCGAAAGCGUGGGGAGCAAACAGGAUUAGAUACCCUGGUAGUCCACGCUGUAAACGAUGAGUGCUAAGUGUUAGAGGGUUUCCGCCCUUCAGUGCUGAAGUUAACGCAUUAAGCACUCCGCCUGGGGGAUACGGUCGCAAGACUGAAACUUAAUGAAUUGACGG